rnacentral:rRNA from 1 species
AGUGAACGCUGGCGGUAGGCCUAACACAUGCAAGUCGAACGGCAGCACAGGAGAGCUUGCUCUCUGGGUGGCGAGUGGCGGACGGGUGAGGAAUACAUCGGAAUCUACUUUUUCGUGGGGGAUAACGUAGGGAAACUUACGCUAAUACCGCAUACGACCUACGGGUGAAAGCAGGGGAUCUUCGGACCUUGCGCGAUUCAAUGAGCCGAUGUCGGAUUAGCUAGGUGGCGGGGUAAAGGCCCACCAAGGCGACGAUCCGUAGCUGGUCUGAGAGGAUGAUCAGCCACACUGGAACUGAGACACGGUCCAGACUCCUACGGGAGGCAGCAGUGGGGAAUAUUGGACAAUGGGCGCAAGCCUGAUCCAGCCAUACCGCGUGGGUGAAGAAGGCCUUCGGGUUGUAAAGCCCUUUUGUUGGGAAAGAAAUCCAGCUGGUUAAUACCCGGUUGGGAUGACGGUACCCAAAGAACAAGCACCGGCUAACUUCGUGCCAGCAGCCGCAGUAA